CAAAUUUGUGUUUAUCUUGGAGCAUUGAUUUAACAUUUUUGUUCUUUCUUAUCUGCAGGAUUUAAAGGUUGUUCUAGGUCCUUGCAGGAUUAAGCCUAACAAAACAGAGAUUUGUGAUUAAAAGUUGGUUCAAGGUUCUUGCAAUAUUAAGCCUAGCAAAACAGAUUCGUGGGCAGCAAGGAAAGGAAGGUGUUGUAGUUCAGAAAAUCCAAAAACAACUAGGAGAUUGUCGAGCUCUAGUGUAAGGUAAGUUCAACUAAUUUACCUUG